ACCCGGCGCUGCUACGGCGUCGUCGGGCGACCGUCAGUUUUGUGGUCAGCCCCGCCCGGCCGGCUUCGGCAAAUACGUUACGAGGUUCGGAGAGCGGCGAGUACGGCGGCAACGCCCGAAAGCCGCGCCGAC
rnacentral:ncRNA from 1 species